rnacentral:rRNA from 1 species
GUUUGAUCCUGGCUCAGAACGAACGCUGGCGGCGUGCCUAACACAUGCAAGUCGGACGCGAAAAGCAGUAAUGCUGAGUAGAGUGGCGCACGGGUGAGUAAUACGUAAAUGACCUAUCUGUUGAAUCGGAAUAACCGUUCGAAAGGAUGGCUAAUACUGGAUAAGCCUGUUUGUUAAGACAAAUAGGGAAAGGUUGGUUGUGAGACCAAUCGUCAGCAGGAGGGUUUGCGGCCCAUCAGGUAGUUGGCGGGGUAAAGGCCACCAAGCCGAAGACGGGUAGCUGGUCUGAGAGGAUGAUCAGCCACACUGGAACUGAGACACGGUCCAGACUCCUACGGGAGGCAGCAGUGGGGAAUCUUGCGCAAUGGACGAAAGUCUGACGCAGCAACGCCGCGUGGGUGAUGAAGGUUUUCGGAUCGUAAAGCCCUGUCGGAGGGAAGAUGGUGUAAACAAUGAAUAAGUGUUACAUUGACGGUACCUUAAGGAAGCACCGGCUAACUCUGUGCCAGCAGCCGCGGU